GUGAUGAGGGGCUUGCCCUUCUGAUCAGUGGCGAACGGGUGAGUAACACGUGAGUAACCUGCCCUUCACUCUGGGAUAACUCCGGGAAACCGGGGCUAAUACUGGAUACGACCUAUUCGGGSAUCCGAAGUGGGUGGAAAGAUUUAUUGGUGGAGGAUGGACUCGCGGCCUAUCAGCUUGUUGGUGAGGUAAUGGCUUACCAAGGCGACGACGGGUAGCCGGCCUGAGAGGGCGAUCGGCCACACUGGGACUGAGACACGGCCCAGACUCCUACGGGAGGCAGCAGUGGGGAAUAUUGCACAAUGGGCGAAAGCCUGAUGCAGCGACGCCGCGUGAGGGAUGAAGGCCUUCGGGUUGUAAACCUCUUUCAGCAGGGAAGAAGCAGCCGGGUUUUCCUGGUUGUGACGGUACCUGCAGAAGAAGCACCGGCUAACUACGUGCCCAGCCAGGCCGCGGUAAUACCGUAGGGUGCAAGCCGUUGUCCCGGAAUUAUUGGGCGUAAAGAGCUUGUAGGCGGUUUGUCCCCGUCUGCUGUGAAAUUUCCGGGGCUCAACCCCCGAACUUGCAGUGGGUACGGGCAGACCUAGAGUGUGGUAGGGGAGACUGGAAUUCCUGGUGUAGCGGUGAAAUGCGCAGAUAUCAGGAGGAACACCGAUGGCGAAGGCGGUCUCUGGGCCACUACUGACGCUGANAAGCNAAAGCAUGGGGGAGCGAACAGGAUUAGAUACCCUGGUAGUCCNUGCCCNNAAAC
rnacentral:rRNA from 1 species